rnacentral:rRNA from 1 species
UACGGGGGGAGCAAGCGUUGUUCGGAUUUACUGGGCGUAAAGGGCGCGUAGGCGGCCACUGCAAGUCAGUUGUGAAAUCCCCGGGCUUAACUCGGAAAGGUCAACUGAUACUGCAGGGCUAGAGUGCAGAAGGGGCAACUGGAAUUCUCGGUGUAGCGGUGAAAUGCGUAGAUAUCGAGAGGAACACCUGCGGCGAAGGCGGGUUGCUGGGCUGACACUGACGCUGAAGCGCGAAAGCCAGGGGAGCGAACGGG